rnacentral:rRNA from 1 species
CAGGCCUAACACAUGCAAGUCGAGCGCCCUGCAAGGGGAGCGGCAGACGGGUGAGUAACGCGUGGGAAUCUACCCUUUGGUACGGGAUAGCUCCGGGAAACUGGAAUUAAUACCGUAUGUGGCUUUUGAGCGAAAGAUUUAUCGCCAAAGGAUGAGCCCGCGUCCGAUUAGCUAGUUGGUGGGGUAAAGGCCUACCAAGGCGACGAUCGGUAGCUGGUCUAAGAGGAUGAUCAGCCACAUUGGGACUGAGACACGGCCCAAACUCCUACGGGAGGCAGCAGUGGGGAAUAUUGGACAAUGGGCGCAAGCCUGAUCCAGCCAUGCCGCGUGAGUGAUGAAGGUCUUAGGAUUGUAAAGCUCUUUCACCGGGGACGAUAAUGACGGUACCCGGAGAAGAAGCCCCGGCUAACUUCGUGCCAGCAGCCGCGGUAAU